rnacentral:rRNA from 1 species
GAUGAACGCUGGCGGCGUGCCUAAUACAUGCAAGUCGAGCGAACAGACGAGGAGCUUGCUCCUCUGACGUUAGCGGCGGACGGGUGAGUAACACGUGGAUAACCUACCUAUAAGACUGGGAUAACUUCGGGAAACCGGAGCUAAUACCGGAUAAUAUAUUGAACCGCAUGGUUCAAUAGUGAAAGACGGUUUUGCUGUCACUUAUAGAUGGAUCCGCGCCGCAUUAGCUAGUUGGUAAGGUAACGGCUUACCAAGGCAACGAUGCGUAGCCGACCUGAGAGGGUGAUCGGCCACACUGGAACGGGGACACGGUCCAGACUCCUACGGGAGGCAGCAGUAGGGAAUCUUCCGCAAUGGGCGAAAGCUUGACGGAGCAACGCCGCGUGAGUGAUGACGGUCUUCGGAUCGUAAAACUCUGUUAUUAGGGAAGAACAAAUGUGUAAGUAACUAUGCACGUCUUGACGGUACCUAAUCAGAAAGCCACGGCUAACUACGUG